GCGGAGAGAGAAGGGACGGCGGGGCAGCGGAGCGGCUACCGAGAGCCAGAAAAGGGGAAGACUCAGGCAAGCGCUCACAGGCCUGCCAGACCCCCGGACCCGCAGACAGAUGACUUCAUCUAUGCUCGCACCCCGGAGCCCUCGGGCUGUCUUCCAAGACAGGUGCACACGCAGGGAAUAAGGGGUGGUCACUCCCGGAGGCGGGGCCCCUAAGGCCGGCAGCGCUGUUGGGAGUGUCCCCUGCCCCGGGCUUCCGGUUAGCCCGCGAAGGGUCCAGAGUCUGCAGGGGUGGCCAGGUGGGCGACGUGGCGCCCCUACACGGAGCCCUGAAGCCCUUGGCCGCGAAGUCUGACCACAGCCACUCGUGGGAGUCUGGUGGGAGUCUGGUGGGAGACUUGGAGCCAUAAGGCAGGAAGGCCAAGAGGCGGAGGAGUGAUGGAAAGGAACUCAGAGACUAUCAAGUUCCAUGCUCUCAUUUUCCAGAAGAAAGUCCAACCUGAAAGCCAAAGACACAAGUGAGGUUCUCAACAUCACAUGGAUAUCGGAGAAAGAUGACUCUGGCAGCAGUUGCCCAGGAUGGCCUUGAGAGGGACGCUGGAGGCAGGAGGUCUGGUCAGAGGUGUCGGCGGUAUGCCUGGCUGGAGGCCGUCACUAAUUCCUUUUGGAUGCUGGAAAGCUGUAGAUGACAACCAAGUAAAAACAGUCCAAAAAAACCGAUUCCGUUUAUGCUAGCAGAGGCCCCAAGCCCUGAAAAGAGGAUGGAUGGUCUGCCUUCUCUGAGUAUAAUUCAAAAUAAAACAACACUGAAGGUUCAC
rnacentral:lncRNA from 1 species